CUCAGAUCUGUUUGCCGGGAUAAUCCGUCGGCGUUGCCGUUCUGCUUCCCGGGUCGGUAGGUGAUUGUAAAAUUAAAGGGUUGCAGGGAUAAGCUCCAGCGUAACAAUCUGCCAUUGUCCCCAGCGACCCGGUUGAGCCACACUAGCGGGUUAUGGUCUGUAACCAGAGUGAACUCCUGUCCAUACAAAUAGGGGGUUAACUUCUUUAAUGCCCACACCAGAGCCAAACACUUCUUCCUUUUCUACUGCAGCAUAGCUG